UGAGGUGGAGCAAAACUCAAAAACUUAGUCUCAGUUCGGAUUGUAGGCUGAAACUCGCCUACAUGAAGCUGGAGUUGCUAGUAAUCGCGAAUCAGCAUGUCGCGGUGAAUACGUUCCCGGGCCUUGUACACACCGCCCGUCACACCAUGAGAGUUGGCAAUACCCAACGUACGUGAUCUAACCCGCAAGGGAGGAAGCGUCCUAAGGUAGGGUCAGCGAUUGGGGUGAAGUCGUAACAAGGUAGC
rnacentral:rRNA from 1 species